rnacentral:rRNA from 1 species
UACGGGGGAUGCAAGCGUUAUCCGGAUUUAUUGGGUUUAAAGGGUGCGUAGGCUGUGAGGUAAGUCAGCGGUGAAAUGCCCCCGCUCAACGGGGUGAAGUGCCAUUGAUACUGCCUUGCUGGAAUGCGGAUGCCGUGGGAGGAAUGUGUGGUGUAGCGGUGAAAUGCAUAGAUAUCACGCAGAACUCCGAUUGCGAAGGCAGCAUACCGGCGCCCAACUGACGCUGAAGCACGAAAGUGUGGGGAGCAAACAGG